GAAACAUUUCAGAGUAAAAAUAACAGUUUUCAGAAUAUUGUACAAAAUGUUCUAGGUAGUGUUCUGAUAAUACAGCUGAAGAAAGAACUUGAAAAAUAUUACACUAAGUUUAAAAAUAUGUUUCUUUUCUGAUAUUGUUCUUGGAGGAUAUCUAUUUAGCAUGAGCAAAAGUGACUGUGAUUGGGAAAAGAAUAUUUACGCACAUCUUCAUAGUUCUCUGGUAUUAUAUAUAACUUUAUACCAGGUAUUAUACUGAAACUGGGACUCCAUCCUCUUUAUUCUACUGUUGAUCCUUGAUCCACAUCCCUUAGUGCAGUCUGACUUCUCUAAUUGGUUCUGACCAGAAUUCAGAGUUUGAAAACACCAGUACCUGAGGAAAACUUGGACAGUGAAUAAAGAAUUAUGCAUUUUUUCUCACUUGAUCUUAAAAAAGAAGGUAAACUGACAGAAACAGAAUGACCUUCAAAUAACUUCUAGCCUGCAUUUGGAAAGAAACAGUUCUCUGGAGCUGACCAAUGGCACUAUGGGACAUCUGCUUGAAGGUCACAAACACAAUUUAUAUGAUUUACUUGGCACAACGAAGUGUAUAAUAUAUAUAUGAAUGGUGCAACAUCAAAAUAUAAAAUCUUGACUCUACAAAGCUGCACUGUUAUCCUGAGCUUCAGGGAAUGGAAAAUUUUCAUUAAUGCUAUGAGGACAACA
rnacentral:lncRNA from 1 species